AACGAUCCAGCAACACCAUAGUUGACUUGGGGGGGACGACGGCCUAGACCUCUCACGAACUCGUCACAGCAUCCUCCAUGCGCCUCAUCCGGCAGUACCUAUUCUGGACCUAUGAGGGGAUGUGAGACAGCAAGAGUGAGCUCACAUACGUUCAUCGCUCAACAAGUUGUGGGGAAUAAUGUGCAUGAACUCGCCAAAGGUGGGAGCUCACGUGAAGUGUAAGGCUUACCAAAGAGGAUGGUUGAAGCUGAGCAUUGCUUUUAAAGUUGGUCAAAAAUUUAUUAGCAAUUACUAAGUAUAAGUAGAUACCAACCCAAUUAAGUAGUAGAAUAAAAGUGAUAACAACACCCGCAAUGCAAUGCAUAUGACAAAUUGAAUUUAGUUCCAUAAAUUAAUCAUAUGAGGGUACGAGCUGCUCAUGACCGUGAGCAUGGCUGAUAUACUAGUUUUACACUCUGUAGAGGUUGCACAUCUUUACCCACAAGUCGUGUUACCCAUUUGCCACGAGGUUGAUCGGACCCCAUACACCUCUACCAAGGAAGUGAGGCAGGGUACCACUAUAAGGCCUUUACAAAGUUCCACUAGCUUCGGAAAACCCGCCAUCGCAGCAAAAUCAACCCAAGGACCUCUCAACACUGACCACUCCCCUACUGCCCUUGCCCCUUUCGGGUAAGGUAGUCCUCCACUAGCUUUCCUAAUUAGUCAGCCAAGGGCAUCCCAUACCACCCAUGUGGUAGCACUAUUUUCCCGGGUUGUUGCUCCAUGUUCCAAUUAACAUAAUGAUCUUAACAUGACAGUAAAAUAACAAUUGAUAAUAAAAGUAUAAUCAUGAAUAAUGUGUAUCUAUAUACCCAAAACCACAUAUAGCAAUAACAGGUACUACCUAAGAAUCCAGUGGUAAACAAGGUAUAAAGAUAGUCAAACUAGGGUAACCUAUUGGGUCCCAUCAAAAUUAACAUGUGCAGAUCAUUAUGAUUAAUAAGAACAUGAUUGGGUAAAAAGAAGUGAUCAAGGGCACAACUUGCCUAGGACUUGAUAUUCCAGGUACCAACUUGCUCUUCACAUGACACGUGUCCUCACUACUAAACGUAACAAUACAGACAAACAUGGUAUAGGCAAAAUUAACAUCACAUCAAACAUAAGAAUAAACUGCGUAAUAAUAAUCUACGCAAUGUUACGAGACCGUGGGUUCGCGAACCACUAAAAUCAGAGUUACGGUUAAAGAAUUGGAAUUUAUGGAAGAUCUACAUGAUUUAAAUAUUAAACUAUAUUAUAAAUUCAUUAGGGUACACCAUAUGAGAGAAUAUUCUAUAAAUAUAUAACUCAACUUUAAUUAUACUUAACUAGAGAUCAUGUUUUAACCAAAUUAUAAUUAUGGUCAGGUUGGUUUUGAUUUAGAAGAGCUAAUCUAGUAGACAUAAGAUAAAUAAAUAUCUGACUAAAAAAUAUGCGACAUGAUAUAAUUUAUGCUGUUACUGCGUAGGGAAUAUUUUUAUGAAGCUAACGCGACUGGAACAGGUCUAAUCGGAGCUAAGACGGACAACUUAUGAUUUAUCUAAGCUAUUGGAAUUAUUUCUAUAGUAAAAUCAACUUUCAGAAUGACUUUAUAAAGGCCAGGGGUUGUUUUGCAAAUUAUGGGGACCUAGGUGUAAGAGUUCCUUUCAGCCGAGGGACGGUGGGUAUGUUUACCCAAAAACUUAGGGGUUCUUUUACAAACAUUACACGGUGAAGGGGUAUCUUCUAUUUUCGACCGCCUGAUCACAAUCCGGUGGACACCAUUAGAUCAAAUCACUUAAUGAACCGGUACGACCUUAAGAUUGUUGAUUUCGGGACGAAAGUCGUCCACCUAUGAUCCAAAUGGAGCCGCACGAUCCAGAUUCAGUGACUACGAUUUUAUUAACCUGGAUCUAAUCCUACCCAUCAACCCCCGAUCUAACGGAUUUUGCUCCAAAAGAAACGGUACAGGAUCAGAUCUCGCCCGUUAAUCCCCACAUCAACGAUCACACUUCUUCCACCUCACAGCCUCCCUCCUACCGACGUACACGAGGCGGCGCUAGUCUUCUUCGCGGCGGAGCGCCGUCGGCAAGGCGUCACAACGGCCCCCAGAGCAUCGAAUCAAGCGCUAUCAGGUGCGAAAGGGGUGGGGAACUUCGUUAAGCCUAAUAGGGUGAUUCUUUCCGAGAUCUCGCCCGUUAAUCCCCACAUCAACGAUCACACUUCUUCCACCUCACAGCCUCCCUCCUACCGACGUACACGAGGCGGCGCUAGUCUUCUUCGCGGCGGAGCGCCGUCGGCAAGGCGUCACAACGGCCCCCAGAGCAUCGAAUCAAGCGCUAUCAGGUGCGAAAGGGGUGGGGAACUUCGUUAAGCCUAAUAGGGUGAUUCUUUCCGAGGUUCAUGCAAUAGGCAACCCGGCCCGCUGUGUGCGGUGGCGCCAUUGAAGUCCGGCGAGCAAUUUCUCCAUCACCAAUCAAUCCCCGCACCCAGCUGCCACAUUCAUGUGCUCAAUGUGCUCGGGCGAACAUCCGGGCCUACUUCACACCGACGAACGGGCGGUGAUGUGCCCCGCCCACGUCACGGCGCGGCUUCACGAAGGAUUCCAACCAUGGAUUGCCACCCAAGCAAGCUCACCCAUGAUCCUGACUCCAUGGGUAAGAGUACCGGGGGGCGAACGUCCUUCAUCGCCCGCCCGAAGCCCAACGGCUGGGUGCGUAGGCUUGUAAUGCCUACGGCGGCGUCGGCGGACCCCCGACGCAUGUUUGAUUUCUAUCUCCCUCCUAUGGCGCGGCGGUCAACGAGGACAGGUUGGAAGGAGAGGUACCGGC
rnacentral:lncRNA from 1 species